rnacentral:rRNA from 1 species
AACGAACGCUGGCGGCAUGCCUAACACAUGCAAGUCGAACGAGACCUUCGGGUCUAGUGGCGCACGGGUGCGUAACGCGUGGGAACCUGCCCUUAGGUUCGGAAUAACUCCCCGAAAGGGAUGCUAAUACCGGAUAAUUUCUUCGGACCAAAGAUUUAUCGCCUUUGGAUGGGCCCGCGUUGGAUUAGCUAGUUGGUAGGGUAAAAGCCUACCAAGGCGACGAUCCAUAGCUGGUCUGAGAGGAUGAUCAGCCACACUGGGACUGAGACACGGCCCAGACUCCUACGGGAGGCAGCAGUGGGGAAUAUUGGACAAUGGGCGAAAGCCUGACCAAGCAAUGCCGCGUGAGUGAUGAAGGCCUUAGGGUUGUAAAGCUCUUUUACCCGGGAUGAUAAUGACAGUACCGGGAGAAUAAGCGCCGGCUAACUCCGUG